GACGAACGCUGGCGGCGUGCUUAACACAUGCAAGUCGAACGGAAAGGCCCUGCUUUUGUGGGGUGCUCGAGUGGCGAACGGGUGAGUAACACGUGAGUAACCUGCCCUUGACUUUGGGAUAACUUCAGGAAACUGGGGCUAAUACCGGAUAUGAGCUCCUGCUGCAUGGUGGGGGUUGGAAAGUUUCGGCGGUUGGGUAUGGACUCGCGGCUUAUCAGCUUGUUGGUGGGGUAGUGGCUUACCAAGGCUUUGACGGGUAGCCGGCCUGAGAGGGUGACCGGCCACAUUGGGACUGAGAUACGGCCCAGAAUCCUACGGGAGGCAGCAGUGGGGAAUAUUGCACAAUGGGCGGAAGCCUGAUGCAGCAACGCCGCGUGCGGGAUGACGGCCUUCGGGUUGUAAACCGCUUUCGCAUGUGACGAAGCGUGAGUGACGGUAAUGGGUAAAGAAGCACCGGCUAACUACGUG
rnacentral:rRNA from 1 species